AUGUACCGGGGCUAAGCAUAUUACCGAAACUGUGGAUGCGUAAGCAUGGUAGGAUAGCGUAAUUAACGCGAUGAAGGAUGACCGUAAGGACAUGUUGGAGCGUUAACUAGUGAGAAUUCCGGUAUGAGUAGCGAAAGAUAGGUGAGAAUCCUAUCCACCGAAUGAGUAAGGUUUCCCCCGGAAGGCUCGUCCGCGGGGGGUUAGUCGGGACCUAAGGCGAGGCUGAAAAGCGUAGUCGAUGGACAACAGGUUGAUAUUCCUGUACCGAUAUUUAAUUGCCGAAGGAAGGACGCAGAAGGAUAACACAGGCCACUAUUGGAUGUGGUUUUAAACAGUUAGUCUUCAUAAGAGUCAAAUGCUUUUAUGUUUAAGGAUAAGCUGUGAAUGUACCAAGUUUACUUGGAAAUUGUGUGAUUUCACGCUGCUGAAAAAAGUUUCGUAGGAAGAAAAUAUUGCYCGUACCGCAAACCGACAC
rnacentral:rRNA from 1 species